UAUGGUGGCAAUAGCGAAGAGGAUACACCUGUUCCCAUUCCGAACACAGAAGUUAAGCUCUUUUGCGUCGAUGGUACUGCUCGGGCAACUGUGUGGGAGAGUAGAUAGCCGCCAUUA
rnacentral:rRNA from 1 species